CCUUCAAUAGCUCAGUUGGUAGAGCGGAGGACUGUAGAUCCUUAGGUCGCUGGUUCAACUCCGGCUCGAAGGA
rnacentral:tRNA from 1 species